rnacentral:rRNA from 1 species
GACGAACGCUGGCGGCGUGCUUAACACAUGCAAGUCGAACGGAAAGGCCCCCAUCUUGGUGGGGGUGCUCGAGUGGCGAACGGGUGUGUAACACGUGGGUGAUCUGCCCUGUACUUCGGGAUAAGCUUGGGAAACUGGGUCUAAUACCGGAUAGGACCAUGGUUUAGUGUCUCAUGGUGGAAAGAUUAUUGUUUUGGUGCAGGAUGAGCUCGCGGCCUAUCAGCUUGUUGGUGGGGUAAUGGCCUACCAAGGCGUCGACGGGUAGCCGGCCUGAGAGGGUGGACGGCCACAUUGGGACUGAGAUACGGCCCAGACUCCUACGGGAGGCAGCAGUGGGGAAUAUUGCACAAUGGGCGCAAGCCUGAUGCAGCGACGCCGCGUGGGGGAUGACGGCCUUCGGGUGGUAAACUCCUUUCGUUAGGGACGAAGCCGCACUUUUUUUGGGUGUGGUGACGGUACCUUUGUUAAGAAGCACCGGCUAACUACGUG